rnacentral:rRNA from 1 species
UACGGGAGGCAGCAGGGGGAAUAUUGCACAAUGGGCGAAAGCCUGAUGCAGCUAUGCCGCGUGUAUGAAGAAGGCCUUAGGGUUGUAAAGUACUUUCAUCGGGGAGGAAAAACAAAACUAAUAAUUUUAUUUCUUGACGUUACCCGAAAAAGAAGCACCGGCUAACUCCGUGCCAGCAGCCGCGGUAAUACGGAGGGUGCUAGCGUUAAUCAGAAUUACUGGGCGUAAAGAGCACGUAGGUGGUUUUUUUAAGUCAGAUGUGAAAUCCCUGGGCUUAACCUAGGAACUGCAUUUUGAAACUGAAAUACUAGAGUAUCGUAGAGGGAGGUAGAAUUCUAGGUGUAGCGGUGAAAUGCGUAGAUAUCUGGAGGAAUACCUGUGGCGAAAGCGGCCUCCUAAACGAAUACUGACACUGAGGUGCGAAAGCGUGGGGAGCAAACAGGGAUUAGAUACC